rnacentral:rRNA from 1 species
GUGGGGAAUCUUGCGCAAUGGGCGAAAGCCUGACGCAGCCAUGCCGCGUGAAUGAUGAAGGUCUUAGGAUUGUAAAAUUCUUUCACCGGGGACGAUAAUGACGGUACCCGGAGAAGAAGCUCCGGCUAACUUCGUGCCAGCAGCCGCGGUAAUACGAAGGGGGCUAGCGUUGCUCGGAAUUACUGGGCGUAAAGGGCGCGUAGGCGGACAGCUUAGUCAGAGGUGGAAGCCCAGGGCUCAACCGUGGAAUUGCCUUUGAUACUGGCUGUCUUGAGUUUGGGAGAGGUGAGUGGAACUCCGAGUGUAGAGGUGAAAUUCGUAGAUAUUCGGAAGAACACCAGUGGCGAAGGCGACUCACUGGCCCAAUAGUGACGCUGAGGCGCGAAAUCGUGGGGAGCAAACAGCAUUAGAAGCCCUUGUAGUCC